CUCACAAGCCAGGCUGCGGCCGACCCCUGCAACAAAGGGACGGUGACAGGUUCGGAGCACGUGCUGGGCUGGGAUGCUGAACUGCAAAGACACAGUGGUAGUGGGGCCAGCUGGAGAGGAGGAGAGACCUGAGGAGAUACAGAGAGUGGUACAGGCAGAGAUAGGGGUGGGGGAGACCCAGAGGUGGAAAGGGAGGAAGUCUCAAACAGUCAAGGUGGUGACAGACGAAGCCUAGCCAGCAAGUCGUCUGAACAGGGAGAGGAGAGACCCAGAGAGGCAGACAGUGAAGAGAGAGGAAAGAAAAGAGACCCAAGGGAGAGGAUGAGUUAGGAGAUCGAAAGACCACAAGAAACUCAGAGAGAUGGGGGGGGGGUCAAUAAAGAGAGAAGGUUAGAGCAGCAGGGACUAAAGGCAGAAGAAGGCAGGCAGGCAGGAAGCGGGGAGAGGGAGACAGGAAGGGGACCCCCACAGGACCAGCUCACCAAACUCGCAGAUGAAGGCAAAGGCCUGGGUGCAGUCCUUCAAGGCAGCCCACUGAGACGAAGGGCCACUCCUGAUGUAGCCACAGGUCCCUGAGGAUCUACCAAACAGCCAAAGAGGAAGGUCUCCUGAGCACGAAAAUUCAGACGUGUUCCUUUGCCCUGUGGGGUUCUGGGUGAGAAGCAGCGGAACUGCUGGGUGUCUUCAUCGUGAACGAAGACCAGAUGGCCUCCGUGCCCUUCACACCAGCCCUGGGCCCCAUGGAAGGUGUGCCCCAGCGGCACGAAUUCAUAGCAAGCAUCUCUGAAGAACACCUGGCUCUUUA